rnacentral:rRNA from 1 species
UACGUAGGGUGCGAGCGUUGUCCGGAAUUAUUGGGCGUAAAGAGCUUGUAGGCGGUCUGUCGCGUCUGCUGUGAAAAUCCGGGGCUCAACCCCGGACUUGCAGUGGGUACGGGCAGACUAGAGUGUGGUAGGGGAGACUGGAAUUCCUGGUGUAGCGGUGAAAUGCGCAGAUAUCAGGAGGAACACCGAUGGCGAAGGCAGGUCUCUGGGCCAGUACUGACGCUGAGAAGCGAAAGCAUGGGGAGCGAACAGG